AGUUAUGAAGAUGCUGUUUCCUCCCCCUCAGCAGUACCCUUGGUUGGCCUGCCCUCUCAUUACCCUUUGUUUUCCUCCCCAUCAGUCCCCUUCUGUUUUCCUUCUCAUCAUUACCCUUCUGUGUUCUCCCCAUCAUUAAUUUUUAUUGCCUCACCCAUCUAUUACCCUUCGUUAGCCUCCCCAUCAUUACCCGUCUGUUAUCCUCCCCCCCAUCCUUACUCUUUAUUUUCCUCACCCAUUCAUUAUUACUCUUCUGUUUUCCUCCCCACAUUACCCUUCUGUUUUCCUCCCCAUCAUUACCCUUCUGUUUUCCUCCCCAUCAUUACCCUUCUGUUUUCCUCCCCCAUUUCAUUACCCUUCUGUUUCUCCCCCCUCAUUACCAAUCUGUUUUAUUCUCCCCAUCAUUACUAGAUCUAUUUUCCUCACCCAUCCUUAUUUACCCUUCUGUUAUCUCUCCCCCAUCAUUACUCUUUUAUUUUCCUCACCCAUCAUUCUUACUCUUCUGUUUCCC
rnacentral:lncRNA from 1 species